rnacentral:rRNA from 1 species
UACGUAGGGACCGAGCGUUGUCCGGAAUCAUUGGGCGUAAAGAGCGUGUAGGCGGCCACUUAAGUCCUGCGUGAAAUCUUGCGGCUCAACCGCAAGCGGUCGUGGGAAACUGGGUGGCUAGAGUGCGGGAGAGGAGAGUGGAAUUCCUGGUGUAGCGGUGGAAUGCGCAGAGAUAUGGAGGAACACCAGUGGCGAAGGCGACUUUCUGGUCUGUAACUGACACUGAGGCGCGAAAGCGUGGGGAGCAAACCAGG